AGUAAACUCUCGAAAAGAGUUUACCUGCCUGAAAACCAGGACAGAGGCAAACUGAGACGAGAAGAUAUCCGUAGAAAGAACAAGAAUCAAAGAGAACAGACUGUAUCAGCGCUUCGCUGGUGUUCUCAUUCUUCAGUAGCAGAGUGCUACACCACUGCUGGCGACCUAAUGGUAGGAGCCAUUGACGGGCAGUCCCACGCCUGGGAAGAAGCGCGUUAAGGAAAUGAGUCCGAAAAACGGUUGUUGGAAUGGUAAAGCAAAUUAGAAGAAAAGUAAAUGUGCAAGAAAGAGAACUGUUCAAGAAAGUAUAACAGGGGUACUGAAAGGAGUGCAAUAUGGUAAAGAAAAUAAAGACUACGUAACCUUUAGAAAAUGCUCAUGUUCUAACAUUUGAAAGAGCAAAAUCCAAGCUAGGUGUGGUGGUGCACGCCAGUAAUCUCACCACUUUGAGAGACUCAGGAGGAUUGGAAGUCUUGAGUCUUGCUGGGCAAAUUAACGAGAAUUGUGUCAAAAUUUUAAAAAAUAAUAAUAAAAAGUGUUGGGACAUAACUCAAUGCAAAGGCUCCAGAUUAAUUUAGUUUAAUCUCCAGUACUGCUAAAUAAAGAAAAUGCAGACAGCUACGCUUGUAAAAAUGAACAGCGGCAUAAGCGCCUGCGUUGCAAGCGCAUGGUCAUGAGUUCGCUCCCCAGUAUCAAAAUAAAUAAAUAAAUAAAUAAAAUAAUAAUAAGUAUAAGAAUAGGGCUUUAAAAGAACAUGAAAGAAAAAGGGACUAUUACAGUAUAUUAGGUCACAGAGAUCUUUUAGAUGAAUUAUAAAAUUGCAUUUAAUGUUACUUUUUUGCAAUAAAAACUAAAUUUCCUUCACAGCUUGUCUGAACUGCUUAAGUUGAAACAGGAAAAUGUAAAUUCUGUUAUGAUUUGCCCUUGAGAUUUCAGAGGAGAGGGACUGUUAUUAUUUCAGGCUCUUAUUUCAUAGAAAGGAUGAAUUAAUCAGAAUGUUAGCACUUUAACUUAGUUUAAUGAAUUGUGUGUAUUUCUGUUGAUAAACUUACUAGGGGAGCUGCUUACAAAAGAAAAAUAAAAUGUAUUUCUUCCUUUAGAAGAUUUACAAUGCUAGGGAAGAGUAUUAUACUGUGUGUAAGGGUUCUUACAGUUGCAGACAGUAGAAUCCACUCUGGAUAGAUUUGAAGAGACCAAGAAAGCUCCUUCCAUCUGCUACUUCCCCUCCCCUUCUCCCUGCAAAUCUAACUAAGUUAAGUUUUAACUUCCUAAAGGCCAUAAAACAAAGGCCUGAGGUAAUAGCUCCUGACAACCCGGGUCUUCUCUACCCGGUAGCCCCAUCACAAAUUGUGUUAAUUGCAUCAGAUUGUAUUAGAUUGUACAUUCUUCACAAAAAUAGCUUCAUUUAUAUCAUAGUAAUAUCUGUAACUUGGCUUUACUGUAAAUGUGUGUCUUCCUUUUCCUCUGGGCAAAAGAUUGAUAUGUUAAUCAAUGCUCUCCUCUGUGAAGAAUUGUAAAUCCCUGGGGCCCUAACCUAAUUGAUAUGCUAACCAUUGUUGCCCUGUACAAAUAGAAUGGUUGUGGUGCUAAAGUAAGGUAAUUAAGGUUGUUAAUUGCUGUUAGACUUUUCUAUUCAGGAGGCCUUGUGGUGUGAGUUUCAAAACUAUGUGCAGCUCCACCCCCACAGGAUCCAGUGUUUCUGGACCAUUUCAGACAAACAGGCUGUUUUCCCAAUCAUGGGACAAAGGCCUGUUCCUAAAAAGUGCCACCCCUUCUUUCGAUACGACCCCCUCGCCCCACAAAGAAACCCAAUCCCUUAAGGACAGCUCACAGUCAGCCCUGCUCUAAUCGCUAUGAUUGGCCUCUGUAACAACGCUUGCUUGCUUUGUGGUUUUAGGCCUUAAAAGACCUAGCCCUACCCGAGUACGGGGUUCUCUGUUCCCACCUGUUUAGAGGACCCCGUGCGCACAGAAAAUAAAACCCCUUGUUCUUACAUGAGAGCUGAGUCCUUGGAGUCUCCUUCGCAACACCGGUCUUACAUUUGGAGGCCCCAGCGAGAUAGACCUCCUCGCCGAAGGAGACUCCAACGGCCACUAAGCGCCUCUCUGGGGUAAGUACGGCCGAUUCUUGUUUACUUUCAUUUUGCGAUCGAUCGUUCAUUUUCUCUUCCUUUUUUUACUGCCCUGGGCCGUUCUUGUCGUUCUUUUGGUCCUGAAUUCAAGGGCAGUUUGUUUCUGUUGGGGGACGCCCCAAGGUUCCCUCGUGGAACAUUCGACGGUGGUUCUGCACCAAUUUGAGUAGGCAGGUCACUCCUGCUGAGCUGGGUAGGUCGCUCCUACUGCUCUGUGUAGUCAUUUCAUGGCUACUGUGCGGCGGGUUUCUUUGCCGAUUUGUUUCCACCACCUAGUGGCAUAGGUGUGUGUAUGACGCCGGCUCGUAAAUGGUAUUCCUGAGUGUGGAUCCCUUGUGUUUGUCUACGUGUCUCCUGUUCCUCGUGACUCUGUUUUCUUCCAGGAUAAUAUGGGACAAACAACCUCAACCCCUCUCUCCCUUACCUUGGACCAUUGGCCCGAGGUUCGGGAGCGAGCUCACAGUCUUUCUCUCCAGGUUAAGAAGGGCAAAUGGCAGACCUUCUGUUCUUCAGAGUGGCCCACCUUUUCAGUCGGAUGGCCUCCGGAAGGGACUUUCCACCUUCCCCUGAUCCUGGCCGUAAAGGGCAUGAUUAGUGAUGGUACAGCUGAGGGAGAAAUACCCUCCCUAUAGUAUUGGCCAUUUUCCUCCUUGGUUGCCUGUUUAAACUUGUUACUAACUUAGGGGCUGGUUGCCCAUUUCUGUUGCAGGAUCCAUAUGGCUUAUUAGAUUCAAGGUUCAUAAUAAGAAAAAUUAUUUCGGGGCUGGGGGUUUAGCUCAGCGGCAUAAGCGCCUGCCUUGAAAGCAGGCAGUCGUGAGUUCGAUCCCCGGUACCGGUAAAAAGGAAAAAGACCAAAAAAAAAAAAAAAAAAAAAAAGAAAAAUUAUUUCCUUUAGCUCACCAAACUGUGCAAGAAUCUCCCUUUGUUUGUGUCUUUAAUGUUGUGGUGCCUUGUUUAAUAUGUAAGACUUCAACUGAUUGCUUGCAACCUUGGAAUGCCUUUUAAAAGGAGUAUUUUUUCUCUCUGGUUAAAAUGUAAACAUGUACACAUAUAUAUGUAUAUCUAUGGUUAUUAAGAAUCAUAUCAACUUUAUCAAGUAAAAACCAGGUGGUACUAUAUUUGAGCCAGUUAAAAGGUUACAGUUUUGUUUUUAAAAUACAGCAUUUUUAUGUGGUAAAAGGACAUAAAAUAAGUAUGUUUUAGACUACUAAAAGGUGACUUCAAGGGUUUUGUUAAGAGUUUUGAUGUUGUCUGAGAAGUGAGAGAAAAGGUAAUUGACUGGUAAUAGUAAAAAGAGGGACAAAGAGAGUAGUCUUCAAGUAAAAAUGUCUGGCUGUGCCAGAAUGUGGAAAAAAAAAAAAAAGAUAAACGCUUAACUUGGGAGGUAUAUUGUAAGUUGUAGAAGGCUCAAGAGGAUGUGAAUUUUAUUUGUCUUGGUUUAUAGUACUGCAAAUAACAGGUUUGACAAGAAGUAAAUGUGUUCAGAAUUUGACAGUAUUAGAUCAGUUUUCCAUAAGAUUGUACUUUGCUGCAAAAAUGUUUCCAUUAAAAUGAGAUUAUAGGUGAUACUAGAAAUAAAAUACAAGUUCUUACAUGUGCUGUGAACAUCUGGGAGAUUAUACAGCACAAUUUUGUUACCUAUGAAAAAGCCCUUUUUUCAAAGAAUAUAAUUUCAGUAAAAUGAUGGCCUGCCACGUGACAACCUUGGAAAAAAAGCGGUGUGCCAUCCAGAUGAAUCUGGCUCUCUGAUCCAAAUGCCAAAACCAUGUUCUCCUUUUGUGCCACCCCGAUUGGACAUCCAGAGGAGAAACUCAAAAUUCGCUGAACUGGACUGAUGAAACAGGCCUUCCAGCAGCUCAAGCGGGCCUUGACAGAGGCCCCAGCCCGGGGACUCCCUGACGUUACCAAGCCUUUCACCUUGUUCAUAGAUAAACUCAGGGGCAUUGCCAAAGGAGUCCUAACUCAGGACAUUGGCCCUUGAAAGAGGCCUAUAGCCUACCUCUCCAAAAGACUUGAUCCAGACUUGAUCCCACCUAAGAAUACUAGCUACUGUGACAAUGUUACUUUAGGAGGCGAAGAAACUCGCUUUGGGCAAGUGAUUUCUGUGGUAACCUCUCACAGUUUAGAGACUCUUAUCAAAACCCCUCCUGAAAAAAGGCUCUCGAACGCCAGAAUUCUACUGUCAAGCCCUGCUUCUAGACCCAGAGUCAAUGAUAUUCAAGACUCCUUCAGCUUUAAACCCAGCCACCCUUAUGCCUGAUGAUGAUCAGGAGGAACAAAGGACACCUCUCUCCAUGAGUGUUCUGACAUCCUUGAACUGCAGCAGAACCUAUGGGGUUCUCCGUUCCCACCUGUUUGGAGGACCCCAUGCGCACGGAAAAUAAAACCCCUUGUUCUUACAUGA